rnacentral:misc_RNA from 1 species
GUAUGGAAACCUACUAAGUGAUAACUUUCAAAUUCAGAGAAACCCCGGAAUUAAUAAAAAUGGGCAAUCCUGAGCCAAAUCCUGUCUUCUCAAAACAAAGGUUCAGAAAGCAAAAAAAGGGAUAGGUGCAGAGACUCAAUGGAAGCUGUUCUAACAAAUGGAGUUGACUGUGUUGGUAGAGGAAUCUUUCGAUUAAAACUUCAGAAAAGAUGAAGGAUAAAUCUAUCUAUUGAAUACUAUAUCAAAUUAUUAAUGAUGGCCCGAAUCUGUAUCUGUAUUUUUUUAUAUGAAAAAUGGAAGAAUUGGUGUGAAUUGAUUCCACAUUGAAGAAAGAAUGGAAUAUUCAUUCAUCAAAUCAUUCACUCCAUAGUCUGGUAGAUCUUUUAAAGAACUGAUUAAUCGGACGAGAAUAAAGAUAGAGUCCCAUUCUACAUGUCAAUACCGGCAACAAUGAAUUUAUAGUAAGAGAAUCGUCGAUUAAAUCGUGAGGGUUCAAGUCCCUCUAUCCCCCCCAAGAACCUAUUGGACUUUAUCCUAUCGCCUUUUUCGUUAUUCCUUAGCGGUUCAAAAUUCCUUUUCUGAUUCUUUUUCCCAAACGUAUUUGGGCGUAAAUGAUUUUCUCUCAUCACAUGUGAUCUAGAAUCCACAUCCAAAUUAAGCAAGGAACUCCUAUGUGAAGAAUUCAUAAUCAAUAACAUUACUCAUACUGAAACUUAGUAAAGUCGUCUUUUUAAAGAUCCAAGCCAUGGCUUGGAAAAAACUUUGUAAUUUCUCCUUGACAUAGACCCCGGUCAUCUAAUAAAAUUAGCAGCUACACUGGGAACGGUCGGGAUAGCUCAGCU